AUUGAACGCUGGCGGCAGGCCUAACACAUGCCAGUCGAACGGUAACAGGGAUCAGCUUGCUGAUUCGCUGACGAGUGGCGGACGGGUGAGUAAUGUCUGGGAAACUGCCUGAUGGAGGGGGAUAACUACUGGAAACGGUAGCUAAUACCGCAUAACGUCGCAAGACCAAAGAGGGGGACCUUCGGGCCUCUUGCCAUCGGAUGUGCCCAGAUGGGAUUAGCUAGUAGGUGGGGUAACGGCUCACCUAGGCGACGAUCCCUAGCUGGUCUGAGAGGAUGACCAGCCACACUGGAACUGAGACACGGUCCAGACUCCUAUGGGAGGCAGCAGUGGGGAAUAUUGCACAAUGGGCGCAAGCCUGAUGCAGCCAUGCCGCGUGUAUGAAGAAGGCCUUCGGGUUGUAAAGUACUUUCAGCGGGGAGGAAGGGAGUAAAGUUAAUACCUUUGCUCAUUGACGUUACCCGCAGAAGAAGCACCGGCUAACUCCGUG
rnacentral:rRNA from 1 species